GGAUCCCUGGCAUAUGCGCCAGGCAGACAAGUCCUCGAGCCGAUAAGUCUAUACCUGGAGGAUCCUCGCCGCUGUUGGUGUGCAAGUCCGGCCCGUUCCGGAAAGCCUGAAAACAGUGCAGGAGCCCCCGCCUUGAACCGUCGGGUUCAAGGGCCACUCUGUCAACGCUAUGCCGGGAAUCCA
rnacentral:other from 1 species